GACGAACGCUGGCGGCGUGCUUAACACAUGCAAGUCGAACGGAAAGGCCCUGCUUUUGUGGGGUGCUCGAGUGGCGAACGGGUGAGUAACACGUGAGUAACCUGCCCUUGACUUUGGGAUAACUUCAGGAAACUGGGGCUAAUACCGGAUAGGAGCUCCUGCUGCAUGGUGGGGGUUGGAAAGUUUCGGCGGUUGGGGAUGGACUCGCGGCUUACCAGCUUGUUGGUGGGGUAGGGGCUUACCAAGGCUUUGACGGGUAGCCGGCCUGAGAGGGUGACCGGCCACAUUGGGACUGAGAUACGGCCCAGACUCCUACGGGAGGCAGCAGUGGGGAAUAUUGCACAAUGGGCGGAAGCCUGAUGCAGCAACGCCGCGUGCGGGAUGACGGCCUUCGGGUUGUAAACCGCUUUCGCCUGUGACGAAGCGUGAGUGACGGUAAUGGGUAAAGAAGCACCGGCUAACUACGUG
rnacentral:rRNA from 1 species